AUACGGAGGAUCCAAGCGUUAUCCGGAAUCAUUGGGUUUAAAGGGUCCGUAGGCGGGUUUGUAAGUCAGUGGUGAAAGUUUUCGGCUCAACCGGAAAAUUGCCAUUGAUACUGCAAGUCUUGAAUUAUCGUGAAGUGAUUAGAAUGUGUAGUGUAGCGGUGAAAUGCAUAGAUAUUACACAGAAUACCGAUUGCGAAGGCAGAUCACUAACAAUAUAUUGACGCUAAGGGACGAAAGCGUGGGUAGCGAACAGGAUUAGAUACCCUAGUAGUCC
rnacentral:rRNA from 1 species